AGAAUCUUGCACAAUGGGCGAAAGCCUGAUGCAGCCACGCCGCGUGAGGGAAUGAAGGCCUUCGGGUUGUAAACCUCUUUCAGCAAUGAAGAAGCGCAAGUGACGGUAAUUGCAGAAGAAGCCCCGGCCAACUACGUGCCAGCAGCCGCGGUAAUACGUAGGGGGCGAGCGUUGUCCGGAAUCAUUGGGCGUAAAGCGCACGUAGGCGGUCCAGUAAGUCGGAUGUGAAAUCUCAGGGCUCAACCCUGAAACUGCAUUCGAAACUGCUGGACUUGAGGAAGGUAGAGGAGAGUGGAAUUUCCGGUGUAGCGGUGGAAUGCGCAGAGAUCGGAAGGAACACCAGUUGCGAAGGCGGCUCUCUGGGCCUUUCCUGACGCUGAGGUGCGAAAGCGUGGGGAGCGAAC
rnacentral:rRNA from 1 species